rnacentral:lncRNA from 1 species
AUCAGACUCCAAGGAGAGGCCAACAGAUGAGGGAGCCAUUUUUCUGCAAUGGAAUUAAAUGGCCAAGUGGGUUUUUCCUUUGUUGCAAAUGGGGAAUGCUUUUCCUUUGACUCCACCAUCCAGUUCAGGACGCCUGAAUGUGUUUAACAUUUGCCAAAGGACUCACACUUGGAAGAAUGAAGACCUUUUAAAAAGAUCUGGAUUUUUCCUUAUGACUUGGAAUCCAUCUUUGUCUUGUAUAACUAGGUCAUAGCACACUAUUAAUGUCAGCAGUUAACAGUUUUGAAUUCAAAAAAACCUAAAGCACUAAACAGCCCUCAGCGAAGCCGCCUUUUUGCCAGCCCAACCCUGGAAAGUUUGCAGUCGUGGAAGGAGCAGAAAUACCACGAGUGUAACUUACAAAGAAGACAAUCCUUGCUUCCUCUGGACAUCUGGAGCAGGCCCAAUUUGACUGAGAGCCUUCCCCCACUAAGUUACAGAUCCAGCCCCACCAUCACCACCAGAGUUGAGUCCAAAUCCAACACUCUAGGCCGGGUAGUGCUGGGACUUUGCCAGCCUCCUGCUGAGAAGUGAAUUCUCCCCUUGGCAAACUGCAGCCAGCCAGCCUCCUGGGUCGAGAGCCAAGCCAAAAGAUGUCUGAGAGAAGAAACCUGGGGUCCUGCAAAGCCCUCCUCCUCCCCCCCCCCCCCCUUCAGCCAGCACUUAGGCCCUCCCUGAUUUAGCCCGUUACCUUGACAACCACUUGGGCCUGUCUCCCUCAUCACCACUGAAAACCUGAAGGUGGUUUUCCAGCUGCGGUACAUUUGCCCAAGUUGGGCACCCCUCCAGCUUCUAUUGGCUCGCCCUCUAUACAGCUGUACCCAAUAUAACAAACACAACCUUCCUGGCCCCUCAGCUGUAGUCUCGAAAUUGAUCUCACUGGUCCCGGGAACUCCGUCAAUACUGCCUCCUCUAGACUGAGCUCCUCACAGGCAGGAACAUGGUUGUUUCUCAAUAAACAAGUUGCAAAAAAA